rnacentral:rRNA from 1 species
AGGGUUUGAUCAUGGCUCAGGACGAACGCUGGCGGCGUGCUUAACACAUGCAAGUCAAGGGGGCGGAGCAAUCCGCAACCGGCGAACGGGUGCGUAACACGUGAGCGACCUACCUCCUUGCGGGGGAUAGCCGGCCCAACGGCCGGGUAAUACCGCAUACGCUCUUUGGGGGGCAUUCCCUGGAGAGGAAACUUCCGAGGCGGGGAGAGGGGCUCGCGGCCUAUCAGCUAGUUGGCGGGGUAAUGGCCCACCAAGGCGGCGACGGGUAGCUGGUCUGAGAGGAUGGCCAGCCACAUUGGGACUGAGAGACGGCCCAGACUCCUACGGGAGGCAGCAGUGGGGAAUCUUGCGCAAUGGCCGAAAGGCUGACGCAGCGACGCCGCGUGGGGGAGGAAGGGCUUCGGCUCGUAAACCCCUGUUGCCCGGGGCGAACAUCCCUUUUCGAGGGGACUGACGGUACCGGGUGAGGAAGCACCGGCUAACUCCGUGCCAGCAGCCGCGGUAAUACGGAGGGUGCGAGCGUUGUCCGGAAUCACUGGGCGUAAAGGGCGCGUAGGUGGCUUUUCAAGCGCGCGGUGAAAGCCCGGGGCUCAACCCCGGGUCGGCCGUGCGGACUGAGAGGCUUGAGCACUGUAGGGGCGGGUGGAAUUCCGGGUGUAGCGGUGGAAUGCGUAGAGAUCCGGAAGAACACCGGUGGCGAAGGCGGCCCGCUGGGCAGGAAGGCUCGCAAGAGCCGGCUGACACUGAGGCGCGACAGCGUGGGGAGCAAACAGGAUUAGAUACCCUGGUAGUCCACGCCGUAAACGAUGGGCACUAGGUGCUUGGGGGAGCGACCCUCCGGGU